rnacentral:sRNA from 1 species
UUGCUAUCUGCGAUAUGGAAGAUUCGAACCUGCCGCAGGUUCGGGUCGAACGCAGUGAGACAACGGAGCCGUUUACGGCGACGGCCCGAAGGGCGAGGCGAUCUCAUGAGCUUCCGGUAGCGACGG